CUGGCUCUGGUGGGGCUUGGUCUUCACGAGGUGGUCGCGAGGUGAAGGAGGAAGGACAGCGGGAAAUUUGACGGCAGACGCACUAAAGGGUUUAAGGGAAUUGUUUUUUGACUUUGGCUACGGAUUUAGAUCACAGUGUUUGGCGGUUGGCAUAAACUGGUAUGUGACUGGCUGGAAUGGCAUCUCAGGUGGAUGAGGAUGAUGAUAUGGAUUUUGGUGAAUGGACCCCGGUUGCUGGCGGGGGAAGAUCAGGAUGAGGGAGAAGCAGGAGAGAGGAAGCAAGUUUGUUUGGGACACAGACUAGUAAACGGAGCUUGGAGAAGAACAGUUCGGAAGAGGGGUCCAGGGUUGUCCGGAGGAAAACGGUGUAGCUUUUCCUCGUAUUUCUCCAAACAGACUGCAGUUUUUUGAAUAUGAAUCCAUCACUUUAAACUGUGAGUCUGAUGGCUUAUCUGUGUGGAAAGUGAUGAGGGACGUCCAAGAAGCAGUUCCAACAAACAUUUCUAACUGGGUAACAUCAGCUGGGUCAAGCACCAUUGAACCUGCAUUUUCAUCAGACAGUGGUGUGAAAAUGAAGGAGGACUAAAAAGCAGCAUUAUCAACAUUAGUGUGAACGGUACGGAGAAAAAAUAUUGUCAUGUGCAAUCCCAUUAUACACUGAGGUUUUCUUGCUAAUUCAUAGUCUACAAGUGCCUUAUAAUAUUCAGUUCCAUUCAAAGAGGGAGAAAAAAUGUAUUUACAAAACAAUUUUCAAGCUGAC
ensembl:lncRNA